rnacentral:tRNA from 2 species
GGCAGCGUGGCCUAAUGGUAAGGCGUUGCUUUCCGGAUCUGGAACCUGGCAAAGACUGUGGGUUCGAGUCCCAUCGCUGUCG